UACAGAGGGGGCAAGCGUUGUUCGGAAUUACUGGGCGUAAAGGGCGCGUAGGCGGCCUGUUAAGUCGGACGUGAAAUCCCUCGGCUCAACCGGGGAACUGCGUCCGAUACUGGCGGGCUUGAAUUCGGGAGAGGGAUGUGGAAUUCCAGGUGUAGCGGUGAAAUGCGUAGAUAUUACAAGGAACACCAAUGGCGAAGGCAGCUUGCUGGGCCUUUUCUGACGCUGAGGUACGAAAGCGUGGGGAGCGAACAGG
rnacentral:rRNA from 1 species